rnacentral:rRNA from 1 species
UUCCGGUUGAUCCUGCCGGACCUGACUGCUAUCGGAUUGAUACUAAGCCAUGCGAGUCUUUGUAGUAAUACAAGGCAGACGGCUCAGUAACACGUAGUCAACCUACCCUAUGGACGAGAAUAAUCUCGGGAAACUGAGCAUAAUUCUUGAUAGAUCAUAAUGCCUGGAAUGGUUUAUGGUUAAAAUGAUUCGUCGCCAUAGGAUGGGACUGCGGCCUAUCAGCUUGUUGGUGAGGUAAUGGCCCACCAAGGCGAUUACAGGUACGGGCUCUGAGAGGAGAAGCCCGGAGAUGGGUACUGAGACACGGACCCAGGCCCUAUGGGGCGCAGCAGGCGAGAAAACUUUGCAAUGUGCGAAAGCACGACAAGGUUAAUCCGAGUGAUUUCUGCUGAAGAAAUCUUUUGCCAGUCGUAAAACCGCUGGUGAAUAAGGGGUGGGCAAGUUCUGGUGUCAGCCGCCGCGGUAAAACCAGCACCUCAAGUGGUCAGGAUGAUUAUUGGGCCUAAAGCAUCCGUAGCCGGCUUUGUAAGUUUUCGGUUAAAUCCAUGUGCUCAACGCAUGGGCUGCCGAAAAUACUGCAUAGCUAGGGAGUGGGAGAGGUAGACGGUACUCAGUAGGUAGGGGUAAAAUCCUUUGAUCUAUUGAUGACCACCUGUGGCGAAGGCGGUCUACCAGAACACGUUCGACGGUGAGGGAUGAAAGCUGGGGGAGCAAACCGGAUUAGAUACCCGGGUAGUCCCAGCUGUAAACGAUGCAGACUCGAUGAUGCAUUGGCAUAAUAGCCAUUGCAGUGUCGCAGGAAAGCCGUUAAGUCUGCCGCCUGGGAAGUACGUACGCAAGUAUGAAACUUAAAGGAAUUGGCGGGGGAGCACCACAAGGGGUGAAGCCUGCGGUUCAAUUGGAUUCAACGCCGGA